GAUUGGCUGUAUACUUUUGUCAAUCAAUCUCCUUCGCGCUGUCGCUAGAAGACGGCUUGCUAAUCGCCAAUAAUCAAUAGAAGAAGCUAAACCAAUUAAAUGAAUCUUCUACGUUGCAGGAGUAGGACGCGAAGGAAGAAGACGGCCGGAGGAAUAGAAGCACAGUAAGAGCAGUGAAUAUGUCUGAUGGCCGCUUCUCUUCAGUUGUCCCUGGGUUGUGGAAACAUCAGCAGACACUCCACAAAUGUAGCCAGAGCGUCUUCUACGUCUGUCGACAUGCUGCCAAGGGGAGGUGCACACUCAACAGAGGAGGAGUCUCUCCUGACCCACUGACUUGGACUCUCAGUCCCUUCACCUCAGUUCUCCAAUCCCAAUGAUAAGCUGUCAUGCCCGCCUCGUAUCUAAACACAGUGUCUGAUGGAAGGUCGGCGGGGGCCCUCUUUGUUUGCCAAACACAGAAGCCUCCUUCCACGAUAGUUUGGAGCAGAGCCGCUCGCCGGCCAGGAUGGAUGAGCCCCUGUGGAUAACACUUUUAAACACAGCCUAGAAGUGUCUAGAAAGACACAACGCAGAGAGGGCAGGCUGGAUAGGAAGUGAAACACCAGAACCUGCACUAUUAAAGUGAACAUCAGAACCUCAUCAGACCCAGAAAAAAUAAAAUAAAAAAAAGAAAUGUAUUUAACUUAACUUUUAAUUUCAGGGUGUCAGGGGGUGAAGUCUUUCCAAUGAGCGGGUCAUGUUUUCAGUUGAAAAACCAUAUCUGGUUAGUUAUUCUAGUCGUAGUGCUGUGUAAUGUCUUCCUCGCCCAUCUGUUGCCAUGGCAGGCAGCGCACAUUUAAUCAGGCCAGGCAUCGCCCGCGUCAAGACCCAACCCACCUCACCGUCUUCCAGCAGGCGUGUAACUAAUUCAAAAGUUCAGAUGUCCAGAUGAAUUACAACGACCAAGCAGAGGGAGCACAGGGAGGUUUUUACUGUUGGUAGGAAGAAACACUCAUGCACAGGAUGUUUUUGCUGGCAAACAAAAGAAACAGAAACCGGUCAGAAACAGAAGGUCAUCCUUCUUAUGGUUUCAAAUUUGUGUCCAUGUACGUCAAAAUGGCAGACCUAACUCAACUAGACUGGCUGCUUCCAACAUAAAUACGCUUUGCUUCCAGCCUGGCGGACUUCUCGAGGAGAUAUAAAACACAAGGACACAAUCUUAAGAUCAGUUCUUGUCUCCAUCAUGACUCAGAUUUAACAUUUGCUUUUGUUUGGUAAAAUGUCGCCACAAGAAAUCACAGCUGGCGUGGUGCGAUGUUAUCGCUAUAAUUUCAAUCCCACCAACCAGAAGGGAACUUUAUGACUAAUUUGACAUUUUCAGAUAUUUUUAUUUUGUAAAAUGACUUUAAACAUCAUUUUAUAGAUUAUUAAUGAUAUAUUAUUUUACAUUUGACAAUCAUUUACAUCUACAUUUGAAAACAAAGUUUUGUGUUAUAAUUGGUUAUUAGGAACAGCAUUUCAGCACGUUCUGUUUACAUUAGCGGUGUCCAACAGUAAAAAAUAAAAUGUGAAAAUAAAAGAAAAAGUACGAGAAUAUUGUAAUAUGAGAAAACAGUCAUUUUAGUAGCAUGAAGUUGAAAUAUUCAAGAAAAUAUAUAAAAAAACAACAAAUAGGUUAAGGAAAAAGUUAUAUUGUGAACAAGUUGAAAACAUUAUGGUUGAAGUUAUAAUUAUAAGAAGAAAAUUGGAAUAGUUGGAAACUUUUUAUGAAAAGCAGGAGCAGGAAGAGAAAAAAGCAGCUUCAAUUGUACAAGAAUAAAAUUCUAAAUCGUCAAAAACCAUCACCAUAUUGUAAUAUGAUGUCAUUUUAAUAGCAUGCUGUGGUGUUGAAAUAUAUAUUUAAAAAAAUCAAAAAUAUGAGAAUAAAGUCCUACCAUAAGAAGAAAGCGAUUAUUUAAAAGAAAGUAGGAAUUGUGGGGGAGAAAUGUUCAUACUAAUAAUAAGCCUGAGCUGCAGGUUUUUUUUUGUGAAAUAUACUGAAUAUGGCAUCUCAGCACAUCUAAAAUAUCAAAGUGGCCCUUGCAUCCUUUUAUUUUUCACUAUGAGGCCCAGGGUCGCUCAUAGUGAGGCCCAUAAAUUAUGAGCUGCUGGCCCAUAAAAUGAGCUUUGUCAGGUUUGAGCGUGUGAUGUGACGUGUUUGCUUCCUUUGUAGCUGGUGAACGAUGGUAAUUAAAGAGAGAAGGGGAGUUUUGUUGCAGCUGGAACUAAUCAAUGCAUUGGAGUUUGCGGAGCUGUACACAGGAAAUUAUGUUUUGCUGAGUACAUGUUGGCAGGUUUGCAGUUGGGGAGCCGAAAGCGAAUAAACAGAAAAAGCAGUCUUUUCAGAUUUUUCUGAUGUUUACACGAGUGGACUGGUCAGAAGAUUAAGAUAAAAGUUGGAGAGGGAAGAUAAUUUAAUGCAUUCUUGUUCAGCCACAAGAAUAGAGCACAGACGCAAUAAGCGGAAAUCUUUUCCUCCACUGGGUCACGAAUGUGGCUAAGAUAUAGGAACGAAAGAUGCGGUCCUUAUUCCUGAGAAUUGAAGGUUGUCUUUCCUAACUUCUCUCUCAUUGGCUCCUUUUUUUAAAAGUUUUUUAUCGAUCGGGUCUUUGGAGGCAGAAAACUUUGGCUUUGUUGUCUCCUGAGGCAGUGACCGCCAGCGUCGCCUCUCUGCAAGAAAACCAGAGUAAACAAUGGGACCCGUUAAAAUUGG